UACGAAGGGGGCUAGCGUUGCUCGGAAUCACUGGGCGUAAAGCGCACGUAGGCGGCUUUCUAAGUCAGGGGUGAAAUCCUGGAGCUCAACUCCAGAACUGCCUUUGAUACUGGGGAGCUCGAGUCCGGAAGAGGUGAGUGGAACUCCGAGUGUAGAGGUGAAAUUCGUAGAUAUUCGCAAGAACACCAGUGGCGAAGGCGGCUCACUGGCCCGAUACUGACGCUGAGGUGCGAAAGCGUGGGGAGCAAACAGG
rnacentral:rRNA from 1 species